rnacentral:rRNA from 1 species
GGCUCAGAGCGAACGCUGGCGGCAGGCCUAACACAUGCAAGUCGAACGAACUCUUCGGAGUUAGUGGCGGACGGGUGAGUAACACGUGGGAACGUGCCUUUAGGUUCGGAAUAACUCAGGGAAACUUGUGCUAAUACCGAAUGUGCCCUUCGGGGGAAAGAUUUAUCGCCUUUAGAGCGGCCCGCGUCUGAUUAGCUAGUUGGUGGGGUAAUGGCCCACCAAGGCUACGAUCAGUAGCUGGUCUGAGAGGAUGACCAGCCACAUUGGGACUGAGACACGGCCCAAACUCCUACGGGAGGCAGCAGUGGGGAAUCUUGCGCAAUGGGCGAAAGCCUGACGCAGCCAUGCCGCGUGUAUGAUGAAGGUCUUAGGAUUGUAAAAUACUUUCACCGGUGAAGAUAAUGACUGUAGCCGGAGAAGAAGCCCCGGCUAACUUCGUGCCAGCAGCCGCGGUAAUACGAAGGGGGCUAGCGUUGCUCGGAAUUACUGGGCGUAAAGGGAGCGUAGGCGGACAUUUAAGUCAGAGGUGAAAUCCCGGAGCUUAACUUCGGAACUGCCUUUGAUACUGGGUGUCUUGAGUGUGAGAGAGGUAUGUGGAACUCCGAGUGUAGAGGUGAAAUUCGUAGAUAUUCGGAAGAACACCAGUGGCGAAGGCGACAUACUGGCUCAUUACUGACGCUGAGGCUCGAAAGCGUGGGGAGCAAACAGGAUUAGAUACCCUGGUAGUCCACGCCGUAAACGAUGAUUGCUAGUUGUCGGGAAGCUUGCUUCUCGGUGACGCAGCUAACGCAUUAAGCAA